rnacentral:misc_RNA from 1 species
GAGAUAAGCAAGCUGUCUGGCAGAUCCAAUGCCUUCCAGCAAACUUGAAAGAGGCACAUCGAAAAUUGAUUUGGACAGAUCCAGUACCUGGAGGUGUCGACUAUUGCAGAACUUCCUAGCAAUAUCAGAAGGGAUUUUGUUUACUUCACCACUCUUGGUGGUUGUCAGCAGUGCUCGUAAUUUUCGAUUGCUCAGUAGUUGCUUCCCAUUCAUCGCACUAUUAAUACCCAAAUGCCGACAAUUUGCAUCAGAUGGGGUGGAAAAUGAAUCAUCAUCUGCAAUUUUGAUCACCAAAUCACGAACCAUA